rnacentral:misc_RNA from 1 species
AAACUUUGUUGUUUAUCUAUUUUUUAGUGGAUUUCGUAUGAAACUUAUGAAGAUGUGGUCGAAUUCUUCUUAUUUUAAUACACUAAACAAAAGUGAUCAACUAGAUUACAAGAAAAAAUUGACAUUAGAAAAUAAGGAAACGUUGCCAGACCCGUAUUCAAUCGAUAAACCUUAUUGGAGUACAGAUUUGACAAAAAUACCAGAUAUAUCUUGGGGUUCUUCCAAGUCAAAGGCAAGGACAAAAUCAAAAACUAUACAGUGUUUGGGUUGUUCUUCAUAAAAAAAUUGGAUAUAUUUUAACUGGCAAUUGUAAAUGCAUGGCAGGUCUGGGAUCUGUAUGCAGCCAUGUGGCUGCAUUGCUGUUUAAGAUCGAAGCAUGCAUUCGAACUGAAGUUCAUAAGACUGCAGUGACUAGUAAAUUGUGUCAAUAGAACCAAAUAAAAAGUAAAGCAGAAGCAUCAUCAUUGCAAAAUAUAUCUUUUAAUAGACCAAAACUUAACGAUUUACCAAUUGAAAGGACAUUGUCUAACAGUAAUAGUAAAAAUUAUACUGUCAAUGCAGAACAAUCCAUUAUAAAUUUAGGUGUAGAUAAAGUCAUAGAACUGCAAAAAAAUUAUGCUUAAAGCAGCUUAUUUUAACGAUGUAAAUGUCUUGGAACUUUCCUAUGAUACUGAGGGUACUUUAACAUCUGAUGAGAAUGAAGAAAAUCUAUGUUCAGAAUCUCUUACUAGUCUACUUGAUUAUGAAGCAAUCAAUUUAGAUAGUGCCACUCUCAAAGAUAUAUGUAAUUUAAAAUAUGAAGAAUACAAAUCAACUUACACUUCAAAUUCAUUUAAAUUUUUUAUCUGAAAGUACUAAACUGCAAAGUUUAUCUAGUGCAUGGAAUAUUCACAGAGCAGGCAGAAUUACAGCAUCUAAUUUUUAUGAAGUUAUGCAUUUUAAAUAUAAAAACUCAAGUAACUCGUUGCUUAAUAAGUUAAUGUGUUAUACCAAAGCACCAAACACACCUUCUUUAACUUACGGCAGAAAAAUGGAAUGCAAAGCCAGGAAACACUAUCGAACUAUUAUGAAAGAAAAACACAAUGAUUUUCAAGUGACAGCUACUGGCCUUCAUAUUUAAUACAAUAGACAUAUCUAGGAGCGUCCCCUGAUUCUAUAGUGAGCUGCUCUUGCCACAGUGAUGGUUUGCUCGAAAUUAAAUGUCCAUUUAUUUAUCGGAAUGGUUUAGUUAACUGGGAAAUGGAUAAUAGUUUCCCUAUUGACUCAUCUGGAACCAUGAAGAAAAAUCACAAAUAUUAUGCACAAGUUCAAGGUCAAUUAUAUGUUCUAAAUAAAGAAUAUUGUGAUUUUUUUGUCUGGGCUCCAAAUCAUUAUUUAUUAUUUCGAGUAACUAAAGACUUAGAGUUUAUUGAUGAAAUGAUGCCUUUGCUCUGGAAAUUUUUCAUUGAAUGUUUACAACCUGAAGUUGUUACACGCAAAAAUGAUGUAUGUUUAGACAAUAAGCAAAAGUAUUACUGUACUUGUAAAAGACCCUGUUUUGAACCAAUGAUAGCUUGUGAUAAACCAGGUUGUAAAGUUGAAUGGUUUCAUUAUUCUUGUGUGAAAAUUACACGGGCUCCAGUUGGUCCAUGGAUAUGCAACAGUUGCUCAAAAUGAAAUUAUAUUGAAUAUGAUUCUGCAUUUUAACACUGUUACUUUGCUGUUUGUAAUCUGUACUCCAAUAAGGUUUAUCGAUUGACUACGGUUCCGGCAACGUUUCACUAUUUGCUAAUGUUAUUCAUCUUGUAAUCUAGAUGAUCACUGCUGUUUAGUUUUAAAAGAAAAGUUUUAAAAGCGGUUAUUUUCAUAGCCACAUGUUGUUAAAAUCAUUAUU